rnacentral:pre_miRNA from 8 species
UGUGUUUCAGUGCCCAGGCGAGUCUCAGAGAACAUUCAACGCUGUCGGUGAGUUUGCAAGUGAGAAAAACCAUCGAGUGUUGAGUGUACCCUGCCUCUCGAACACACUCCAUGACCACAC